AAAUUUAUUUUAGUGGCACAUGUGUAUGUGUUUGUGUGAACAUGUGUAUAUUAUGUUUGUACACGCACACAACAAUAGUAGGUCCUCAGAGAGGGUCUGCUUGUGUUUCCCCAGGAUCACCGACAACCGCUGUGGGUUCCAGAACGGCUGACCAGAGCAAUUCAAAACAAGCAGAACAAUGAGGGCGUGGAUGUUCCUGUGUCUGGGAAUGCUCCCGCUAGUGAGAACUGAAGAGCUCUAUGUUCCUGAAACCCAUGCUGUUGACACAUUCAAGUGUUUCCUCAAUUCUUUACAUCUAAUGCUUCACUACCUCUUGGCUUACCUCUGCAUUUUCCUAUUUUAAGGAGUGGGUGAGAGUUGUUCUUUUAGGCGCUGCCAUAUCCUGUGGAUUGGUAUUCAUGCUUUGGUUGGUUUGCAAGUUCAGAUCUCAACAGAAACGUGACAAGGUGGUCAUCACCCAAGCACUCAUGGCCAUUGAACAAAGGGCCUCCUCCGAAGUAUGGUUAUCCAUGCUACAUAAAUAAUAGACAUUCGAGUCCUUAGCUCUAGCACCUCACGGGUCUGUGUACCCAUUGCACUGGGAUGAGUAAGACUCGAUUUCCUUGAUCAGCCCUUGCACAUCACUGAGGCUAUGCCCAUUGCAUGCGAUAGGGUGAUCAUGGUCUGCCAAAAAACGAGAUCCUUCUUGAUCGUUGCGAGCUGAAGAGGCUAGUGACUAGAUUGUUGGAUUAGGCCAUAAUAAUAAAAAAGGGGGAGAUGUGGGAAGCCACAUACACCAUUACAAGAUGGCGCUGGCUACCGCUUGUCACCGCCCGUAAGUUCUGGUAAACAAACAAUGUGCGCAUGUGCAUAAGGGUUUAGCGUCAAGUCACAGCCCAUCCUGGGAAUGUAAAUGAGGCACUGAAAGCACAACCAAUCAGGUAUAGACACACCACUCCUAGGCCUAUAUAAGUGGUGCCAGUUUUGGGGCUCGGGGUCUUCUUGCCUUCGCUAUCAAGCUCUUCCAAUAAACAUGUGCAGAAGAA